AGUGAACGCUGGCGGUAGGCCUAACACAUGCAAGUCGAACGGCAGCACAGUAAGAGCUUGCUCUUACGGGUGGCGAGUGGCGGACGGGUGAGGAAUACAUCGGAAUCUACUUUUUCGUGGGGGAUAACGUAGGGAAACUUACGCUAAUACCGCAUACGACCUACGGGUGAAAGCAGGGGAUCUUCGGACCUUGCGCGAUUGAAUGAGCCGAUGUCGGAUUAGCUAGUUGGCGGGGUAAGGGCCCACCAAGGCGACGAUCCGUAGCUGGUCUGAGAGGAUGAUCAGCCACACUGGAACUGAGACACGGUCCAGACUCCUACGGGAGGCAGCAGUGGGGAAUAUUGGACAAUGGGCGCAAGCCUGAUCCAGCCAUACCGCGUGGGUGAAGAAGGCCUUCGGGUUGUAAAGCCCUUUUGUUGGGAAAGAAAAGCAGCAGGUUAAGACCCCGCUGUUCUGACGGUACCCAAAGAAUAAGCACCGGCUAACUUCGU
rnacentral:rRNA from 1 species